CAGACCAGAGAGAAGAAGACAAACGAAGAAGAUGGAGUUGUGAUUUCUCAGUUCCGAAUGGCGGCCAUAUUGGAAUUUUCUUUACUGUCGCUAGUUUCACACUACUUGAUUUCUCAUGUUGCAGUAAGCUAAACGAUUUCAUCUCUUACGUGACUUGUUGUUCUUGCACGUAACUGUGUAACCGUCUGACUGAUAAAGAAGUUGUUAAAUGUCUUUACGUUUAGAAACAUAAUCAAGCAGACUCAUCCAAGCAGAUGCGAAUAGCCUACAAUGUCAGUACUCAAACCACCAGUAGCAGGCUUAGGACUAGAGUUUGCCAGUCAGACCACUACACCUUUGCCAGCACCACCACCCAGCAAGCUUCAUCAACUCCAGCCAUGCCGAGUUUACCAAUCAGACCUACACCUCUGUCAAAUUCGCUCACAACGCUGCCAGUAACACCCCUGCAAGGUAGAACUGCAUUUUCAUUAAUCUGGCACCAAUAUCAAGGGAGAAACAAGCCAUGAAUGUCUGUCACAACUUCUUUGCAUCUUUACUUUCCUUACAUCUGAAGAGUGUGUUACAUAUAUCAUUAUUAAAAAUAAUUUUAAUAAAUUGUUUAAGCAUGUACAAUAAAUAAAGCAUGUAAAUGAGCAUGUAAAAUAAAUAAACAAA